rnacentral:rRNA from 1 species
CAGUAGCCGCGGGAAUACGAGGGGGGCAAGCGUUGUUCGGAAUUAUUGGGCGUAAAGGGUGCGUAGGCGGUUUGAUAAGUCAUCUGUGAAAUCUCUGGGCUCAACCCAGAGUCUGCAGGCGAAACUGUCGGGCUUGAGUAUGGGAGAGGUGAGUGGAAUUUCCGGUGUAGCGGUGAAAUGCGUAGAUAUCGGAAGGAACACCUGUGGCGAAAGCGGCUCACUGGACCAUUUCUGACGCUGAUGCACGAAAGCUAGGGGAGCAAACAGGAUUAGAUACCCCCGUAGUCCCUGUCUCUUAUAC